UCAGUGUUAAGUGGUUGUAUUUGGGGGCCUGGAACGGAUUAAUCCUAUAACGAACAAAUGCUAUAACGAACAAGGUUCUAGAACCAAUUAGAUUCGUUAUAGCAUACCCCACUGUAUUGCUUUUCAAGUUUGUUUUCAAUUUGAAGUAUUGAAGGUCAUUUUACCAAUCAAGUAAAGUCCCCUUCACUAGUGCAUUUACAGGGGCUCGUCAGGUUUUGUGUAGUGUGGCAGCUCUAUGUUUGUUUACAUUAGACGGAAGGAAACUCGCAAUAGUAAACAUAUUAUGGAUUCAAAGUAAAACAAUUUUAAAAUAAGUGUCUUAAUGUAAAGAUUGGAAUGUUUAUAUAAUGAGCCCCUGUAAAUGUACCAGUGAAGGUGGACUGUACCUCUUCAAUUCUGUCGGUCAUCAUUGAAAUGUCGAGUUGAAGUCUUGUGGUAGUGAGAAACUCCUGAAUGGAAUAUUAGUCAUUCAAGGAAACUUUGUGAUAAGUUAGCUAUACAUAUAUCAAACCUAUGUUUGUAUGUUUUAGCCCAAGUACUGUAUCAUAUUCUUCCUGGUUAUGUAUUUAUCUAGUCCUUCAUCUUGUGUCUCAUGUGAACCUUUGGUAGAUACACAGGAGGUGUUACAUGACUGGUUAAUUGUAGUGAGAGGAUUUUUUUAGUACACAAUAUGGCAACAAAAAAAUACAAGCUCUUAAUAUUGAUAAUUAUUAAUCAUACCUCAGCUGUGGGUAGAUUUUUAUGAUUAUGCCUCGUCAAGAAAUCCCUUGCAAUAAUAUUUUAGUCUCGUCGGAGUGUACAUUAUAACUUAAGUGUUGUGUAGUUGUUUUAUUUAUGAAGAUAUUAGUGUAAGAAAUUAAUUCCUUUUGUAAUGAAAUUAUUGUGAAUCUCUCUCCUCCAGUUUUUUUUCCGAGACUCAACAGAAAAUUCUAGCGUUUUAUGGUAAAUCAGAAAAUAAAAACAAAAGUCUCAUAGUUGGUUUGGAUAACAAGAGUUAAUAUUGCAGAGUCCUUCUUCUGUGUCUUUGUCUUCAUAUAUGAUGCAGGAGGAGGAAGGGGAUUUAGGGCAAUCCAGCUCUUGUUAUAUGAUUAUGUAAUUGAUCCACUCUGUGCUUGAAUAACUUUACUUAGUAACACACUUACUCAAGUGCCAUAACAUUUUCUGGGUGAGUUAACUUUAUAUAGAGGAAUUACUCUAUACUUGAAGCUAAUAAUACUAAUCUGAAGCAGGAGUAAGGCAAGUCUGCUGGUUAUUAUUAUUGACUGUGUUGUGUCCAGAGCUCUGUAGCUACACAACUCCUAAGAGGAAUUUGGCUUGACCCUUAAACAUGAGCCAUCAUCAGUGGAAGUUAACUGUAGGGAUGGCAGUCAUCGUCAGUGGAUAUUUAAUAUUCCUUGUGUUCCAUUUAUGCAUAUAUAGCUUCUCCAGCAUUGGACGUGUUGUUGAUGUUAUAGUUUAUCAUCAGGUUAGUCUGAACAAACACAGGUGAGGUAUAACUGUGACCAGUCUUCUUCUUGUUACUUGUGGCUUCAAAUGACUUUCUGACUGGCAGUUUCUUAAAGGUGGGCAACAGGCACAGUGUAGUCCUGCUUAAUGACUUAUAUUCUUAUGAUUUUGUCAAAUUUUUCAUUGGGUGGACUCUUGUUUUGUGGGAAGCUAUUGUCUUACUGAUGGACAAAUGUAUGAAGAGAGCAGAAGUUGUCUGUAAUUUUAGUAAAACAAAAUUACUUCACUAUUUCACGGCUCUGAAGUCUACAAAUUUGUCAUUACUCUCUUGUCAUGACUGUAAUACUUUCAUGUUUAUUACGAGUCUGAUGGUGAUUUACUUCCAUCUGAAUUAUCGUGUUUAGUUUAACCCAAAAGUCAGUAACUGUAAGAAUAUGCAAGGUAGCAGCAGGGUAUAGUAUAGUGUAUGUUACAGUUGGUUGUAUGGAAAUAUAAGUUUGAAAUAUUAUGAAAAUCUCAAAAAGGAAUGUAUAUAUAUUGUGUGUUGCACAAUAUUAUUUACUAAUGACAAAUUGUCCGUAUUUUUUGACCAGUACUUACAUACAGUAAGAAUAAUUUCUCCUCCUGGAAUUAAAAAUCAAACAAACAAACAAACAAACAAACCAAACAAAACACAGGAUUGGAUUUGUUGCUGUAUGGUACAUUAUGUUGUGUAUGAUAAUUAUAGAUGCUGUGAAUUAUUCCCUAUAAUCUCAACUUAAUGUGUCUCUUUGAGUACCCAGGACAAAUGCAAUGCUUGAUGGUAGACACACUGUACUGAACGUGGCAAUACUGCUUAGCUCUCGGUGUGGAUAAUAUCAUUGGUGAGGUGAUGCUUGGCAGUGGGUAUGCUAAAUAGGAAUGUUUGAUAGGUCACUCACUGGAUAUAUGCAGGAGGUCACUCACUGGAUACAUGCAAUAGGGCACUCACUGGAUAUAUGCAAUAGGGCACUCACUGGAUAUAUGCAGUAGGUCACUCACUGGAUACAUGCAAUAGGGCACUCACUGGAUACAUGCAAUAGGUUACUCACUGGAUAUAUGAAAUAGGUCACUCACUGGAUAUGUUUGAUAAGUCACUCCCUGGAUUUGUUUAAUAGGUCACUCACUGGAUAUGUUUGAUAGGUCCCUCACUGGAUAUGUUUGAUAGGUCACUCACUGGAUAUGUUUGAUAGGUCACUCACUGGAUCACUGGAUAUGUUUGAUAGGUCACUCACUUAAUUUUUUUAUAUAUUAAGUUGUAGAGUGACAUUUUUUGAGAUUUACAAUGAUAUACAGUAAGUGAUUUUAGGAGGUAGUGGGGGGGGGGGGCAGGUUUGAUAUUGUGAAGGAGUGCGAGGUGGACCUGCUCUUGUCACCUCAGACUAUGGUGGGUAUUAUAGCAGUGAGGGAACAGUUUCUUGUGUUUACGUAAACACAAAGGGUGAAAUGACUCCUGAAAAGCCCCAAAAAAAAAGUAUAUAUAUAUAUAUACAGUAUAUAUUUUUUUUUAAUUUUAUAUUUCAAAAUUCUAAUAAACUCAAGGACGAUUACUUUAACCCCUUGUGUACGAGGUCCUCCCUGAGCUAAAUAAAAAUUGUCUGGCAUUAGCCAUAUAAGUGGUUAAUAAUUUUAGGUAUAAUGUUAAGAUAAGAAAAAUUAAAUAUAUUUUGUUUUGAACUUCUGUUUUAACUUACUGUAUUAACAACUCACUGACACGCGCAUCAAUAAGUACCAGUACAUGGCGACCUGUGGUGUAAUGGUCAGCAUGCUUACCUCACAACUGAGUGAACCCGGGUUCAAUCCCCGGGCAGGGUGAGACUAUGGACACCUAGAAGUUAAUUGAUUUGCGGAUCGUGUUCCGGGGUAAUGGUUAGCCAGUGCAGUUGGCGAGUUGUCCGGUCUUCUUGGACUCUUCCUUGACACUGGUUUAUGCAGCUCAUUAACUUCUACACCUUAGACAAAUUCAUGUCUUGGUGACCAUCCUUGGACGUAAGGGGCAGCCAUUAUUAUAUUACAGUAUACUGUAUUAGAGACGUUAGUGAUUCAUUAACAUGUACAGUACUGCUGCUUCAGGAGGGAAGGGCAUUAAUAGAUUACAUUUUUGUUGUUAUUUGCCUAAUUAUAAGAUGCACAUGCUGUGACAUACAUAAUAUAUAAGGAAGCUAUUAAAUUGGUAUUAAUAUAUAAAGAAAUUAUAUUAAAUUAUUAAUAUAUAAAUAUGUAAGUAAAAUAAUGGCAAAUGAACCAAUGCCAACAAAAGCAGUUUACCAUAUACUGUACUGUACUGUACAAUAAUCAUCAAGUAUUGCUUCACACUGUAAUAAAGUACUUUGUAAUAAAGUACACAUUUACUGUAGUGUAUAUCAUAUUUUGUUAUAGUUCUUACCAGCAUUAAUUCCUAACUUUUUGUAAUACAUGUAUUACACUAACACAUACAGUAGUACACAUUUGCAUCAGUGUACAUUAGGUUCUUGCAAUAUUUUUCACCACUACAGUACAGUGCAAGCAUAUAACAUAAUAGGUAAUUAUCAUUCAUAAGUUAUCAUCAGCGCAGGAACAACUAGUGUCAUAACAAGGUACUACUGUAGUUUCAUUGUAUCGUAAGUCGCCCAUAAGAUACUCCAACUCCAUUACAUCUUAACCUGCUGGGAAUUAUAUACAAUAUCUGUAUCAUCUGGUGUGUAUAUGUGUGUGUAUUAAAAUAAAGUUUUCAUUAUUU